rnacentral:rRNA from 1 species
CUCAAGACUUCUUAACCGUACCGUAAACCGACACUGGUGGACGAGUUGAGGAUACUCAGGCGAGCGGGAGAACCCAUCUUAAGGAAUUAGGCAGAAAUGUCUCGUAACUUCGGGAGAAGAGACGCCCUUGAAAGAGGGUCGCAGCGAAAAGGCUCUGUCGACUGUUUGCCAAAAACACAGGUCUCUGCUAAGCCGUAGGGCGACGUAUAGGGGCUGAUGCCUGCCCAGUGCCGGAAGGUUAAGGGGACGUGUGCAAGCACUGAACUGAAGCCCCGGUGAACGUCGGCCGUAACUAUAACGGUCCUAAGGUAGCGAAAUUCCUUGUCGGGUAAGUUCCGACCCGCACGAAAGGCCUAACGAAUGGAGCACUGUCUCAAGAUGGGACCCGGCGAAAUUGAAGUGUGCGUCAAAAUGCGUACUACCCGCAGCAGGACAAAAAGACCCCGUGGAGCUUUACUGUAGCCUGUCAUUGCGUUUGGGUGACACUUGUGUAGGAUAGCUGGGAGACUGGGAAGCGUGGUCGCUAGAUUGCGUGGAGUCGUCCUUGAAAUACCAGCCUAGUGUCGCUUAGGCCCUAACCUGCAUGUAACAGCAUGAGGGACAGUGACUGGUGGGCAGUUUGACUGGGGCGGUCGCCUCCUAAAGAGUAACGGAGGCGCCCAAAGGUUGGUUCAGAUGGAAUGGAAACCCAUCAUAGAGUGUAAAGGCAAAAACCAGCUUGACUGCGAGACCUACAAGUCGAGCAGAGACGAAAGUCGGGCUUAGUGAUCCUACGGCGCUGAGUGGAAAGGCCGUAGCUUACCGGAUAAAAGCUACCCCGGGGAUAACAGGCUAGUCUUCUCCAAGAGUUCACAUCGACGAGAAGGCUCGGCACCCGAUGUCGGCUCAUCGCAUCCUGGGGCUGGAUAAAGUCCCAAGGGUUGGGCUGUUCGCCCAUUAAAGCGGUACGUGAGCUGGGUUCAGACCGUCGUGAGACAGGUCGGUCUCUAUCCGCUGUGGGCGUUGGGUAUUUGAGGGGAGCUGCCUCUAGUACGAGAGGACCGAGGCGGACGAAGCUCUUGUGUGUCUGUUGUCGUGCCAACGGCAUGGCCGAGUAGCAACCUUGGAAGGGAUAACCGCUGAAAGCAUCUAAGUGGGAAGCCCACCCCAAGACGAGAUACCCCAUCCCUUUAAGGGAGUAAGACCGCUAGGAGACCACUAGCUUGAUAGGCGGGAGGUGGAAGGCUGGUAACAGUUGUAGCUGACCCGUACUAAUGGUCGAGGGCUUC